rnacentral:rRNA from 1 species
AUUGAACGCUGGCGGCAUGCCUUACACAUGCAAGUCGAACGGCAUCGCGGGAAAGCUUGCUUUCCUGGCGGCGAGUGGCGAACGGGUGAGUAACACAUCGGAACGUACCGGCUAGUGGGGGAUAACCCGUCGAAAGACGGGCUAAUACCGCAUACGCCCUUCGGCGUAAAGCAGGGGACCUUUUUGCCUUGCGCUAGUCGAGCGGCCGAUGUCCGAUUCGCUAGUUGGUGGGGUUAAGUCCUACCAAGGCGACGAUCGGUAGCGGGUCUGAGAGGACGGUACGCCACACGGGAACUGAGACAGGGCCAAGACGCCUAAGGGAGGCAGCAGAGGGGAAUCUUGGACAAUGGGGGCAAACAUGAUCCAGCAAUGCCGCGUGGGUGAAGGAGACGUUCGGGGUGUAAAGCCCGUUCGGGAGGGAAGAAAUCGGCGGGGCGAAUAACCAUGCUGGAUGACGGUACCUGCAGAAGAAGCACCGGCUAACUACGUG